ACGCCUUGUCAACAUAUAUAAAUAGUGUUGCUUCAAACUUUAUGAUAAAAAACCCGAUUUUCUAGACGUGUAUACAAAUAAAAAUAGUAAGUUUAUACUAUAAAUGAGUUUAUUUUACCUGUAUCGGUUUAAAUUCGCUGUUAAGAGAAUGCAGGAAAGCUAAUCUACCUGUGGAAGUAUAGGCAUUACCCUUUAGAUCUAUUAGAUCCAUUCUUGAAUAUGCCUCACCUGUUUGGGGUGGCCUUCCAACCUAUCUGGUAAAUGAAAUUGAACGUACCCAGAACCGCUGCCUCCGAGUUAAUGACUGUCUACAAAGCCUCUCUGAUCGAAGAGAAGAACUUCUGAAACGUGAAGCGCGGAAGAUUAUGAAUGACCCUUCCCAUCCUUUUCAUACAAGACUCUUUAAAUCAAAUAAUCCCCAUGAUUUACGGACAAUUAGUAGCAAAAACACAUUAUCGCGAACCGAAAGACAUAAACGUUCCUUCAAUAUAUUAUAGCUCGUGCAAGUGCACUCACAUAGUUUUUAGUUGUCUAUAUAUACUUAAUAUUCUUAUCUGUAUAUAAUGUUCUAUAUAUUUUUUAACGUAAUUUCAAUCAAAC